rnacentral:rRNA from 1 species
GAUUGAACGCUGGCGGCAGGCCUAACACAUGCAAGUCGAACGGUAACAGGAAGCAGCUUGCUGCUUYGCUGACGAGUGGCGGACGGGUGAGUAAUGUCUGGGAAACUGCCUGAUGGAGGGGGAUAACUACUGGAAACGGUAGCUAAUACCGCAUAACGUCGCAAGACCAAAGAGGGGGACCUUCGGGCCUCUUGCCAUCGGAUGUGCCCAGAUGGGAUUAGCUAGUAGGUGGGGUAACGGCUCACCUAGGCGACGAUCCCUAGCUGGUCUGAGAGGAUGACCAGCCACACUGGAACUGAGACACGGUCCAGACUCCUACGGGAGGCAGCAGUGGGGAAUAUUGCACAAUGGGCGCAAGCCUGAUGCAGCCAUGCCGCGUGUAUGAAGAAGGCCUUCGGGUUGUAAAGUACUUUCAGCGGGGAGGAAGGCGAUAAGGUUAAUAACCUUGUCGAUUGACGUUACCCGCAGAAGAAGCACCGGCUAACUCCGUGC